GAUGAACGCUGGCGGCGUGCCUAAUACAUGCAAGUCGAGUGAACAGACGAGGAGCUUGCUCCUCUGACGUUAGCGGCGGACGGGUGAGUAACACGUGGAUAACCUACCUAUAAGACUGGGAUAACUUCGGGAAACCGGAGCUAAUACCGGAUAAUAUAUUGAACCGCAUGGUUCAAUAGUGAAAGACGGUUUUGCUGUCACUUAUAGAUGGAUCCGCGCCGCAUUAGCUAGUUGGUAAGGUAACGGCUUACCGAGGCAACGAUGCGUAGCCGACCUGAGAGGGUGAUCGGCCACACUGGAACUGAGACACGGUCCAGACUCCUACGGGAGGCAGCAGUAGGGAAUCUUCCGCAAUGGGCGAAAGCCUGACGGAGCAACGCCGCGUGAGUGAUGAAGGUCUUCGGAUCGUAAAACUCUGUUAUUAGGGAAGAACAAAUGUGUAAGUAACUAUGCACGUCUUGACGGUACCUAAUCAGAAAGCCACGGCUAACUACGUG
rnacentral:rRNA from 1 species